rnacentral:rRNA from 1 species
UUACCGCGGCUGCUGGCACGAAGUUAGCCGGUGCUUCCUUUGAUAGUACCGUCAAAUACAAGGCCUAUUAGACCAUGUACCGUUCUUCUUAUCUGACAGAGCUUUACGACCCGAGGGCCUUCCUCACUCACGCGGCGUUGCUGCGUCAGGGUUUCCCCCAUUGCGCAAUAUUCCCCACUGCUGCCUCCCGUAGGAGUCUGGACCGUGUCUCAGUUCCAGUGUGACUGAUCAUCCUCUCAGACCAGUUAUACAUCGUCGCCUUGGUAGGCCAUUACCCCACCAACAAGCUAAUGUAGCGCAGGCCCAUCUAACAGCGAAUGCCGAAGCAUCCUUUCAAAUUACUUUCGUAUGCGGUAUUAGCCAGAAUUUCUUCUGGUUAUCCCCCACUGUAAGGCAGGUUACCUACGUGUUACUCACCCGUGCGCCACUCUACUCACACCCGAAGGUGCUUUCUCGUUCGACUUGCAUGUGUUAAGCACGCCGCCAGCGUUCGUUCUGAGCCAUGAUCAAACUC